UUUUAACCGAUGUUUGGAUGAGGAAAUGAAGGUAAAGCUAUCACGUUGUAAUUUGGUGAAUUUACACAUGGCUUAAGUGUAUAAGCCAAUAGGAGGAUUUUUUUCAUGAAAAACGGUAAAGUAAAAUGGUUUAACUCAGAAAAAGGUUUUGGAUUCAUCGAAGCUGAAGACGGUAACGACGUAUUCGUUCAUUAUUCUGCAAUCCAAACAGAAGGUUUCAAAACUUUAGAAGAAGGUCAAGAAGUAUCUUUCGAAGUAGUUGAAGGAGCUCGUGGACCACAAGCUGCUAACGUAACUAAAAAAUAAUAUUGUAAUCUACUAUAACAGCCCGGUACUUUAGUUCCGGGCUGUUUU
rnacentral:sRNA from 1 species